AAUUGCGAUAAGUAAUGUGAAUUGCAGAAGUCAGUGAAUCAUCGAAUCUUUGAACGCAUCUUGCGCCCUUUGGUAUUUCUUAGGGCAUGCCUGUUUGAGUGUCACGAAUACUAUUUGGACCAAGUCUUUUUUCUUCAUGUUAAUCGACGAGGCUCCAGCGUUGAGCGUCUGCCUCGCCCUUGGGCCUGGCUCGCUUUAAAUGUAUUAGCUGGGUCGGCUGGUUGCAGUCUUCACCUUUGGUAUGAUAAGUAUUAUGCCGUCGGUUGAGGGUAGCGCCGUUCUAUAGUCGCCUGCUUCUAAUCUAGGAGUGGCAUCGAAACUCGCUGUGCUUGCACGGCCUGGGACGAUGCUUCCUCGCACUAUAUUCAAAUCUGGCCUCAAAUCAGGUAGGACUACCCGCUGAACUUAAGCAUAUCAAUAAGCGGAGGAAAAGAAACUAACAAGGAUUCCCCUAGUAACGGCGAGUGAAGAGGGAAGAGCCCAAGUUUGAAAGCUGGCGUUUGUAUUCAGGCGUCCGCAUUGUAAACUCGAGAAGCGUCUUCCGUGC
rnacentral:rRNA from 1 species